UACGGGGGGGGCAAGCGUUGUUCGGAAUCACUGGGCGUAAAGCGCACGUAGGCGGAUUGCUAAGUCAGGGGUGAAAUCCUGGAGCUCAACUCCAGAACUGCCUUUGAUACUGGCGAUCUUGAGUCCGGGAGAGGUGAGUGGAACUGCGAGUGUAGAGGUGAAAUUCGUAGAUAUCGGGAGGAACACCAAUGGCGAAGGCAGCUCGCUGGGACGGUACUGACGCUGAGGCGCGAAAGCGUGGGGAGCAAACAGGG
rnacentral:rRNA from 1 species